UACGGGAGAGGCUAGCGUUGUUCGGAAUCACUGGGCUUAAAGCGCGUGUAGGCGGCGCGGUAAGUAUCUUGUGAAAUUCCUCCUCUCAAUGGAGGGACUGCUCGGUAUACUGCCGUGCUUGAGGCAGGUAGGGGUGCCUGGAACUCUAGGUGGAGCGGUGAAAUGCGUAGAUAUCUAGAGGAACGCCCGUGGCGAAAGCGGGGCACUGGGCCUGACCUGACGCUGAGACGCGAAAGCGUGGGUAGCAAACGGG
rnacentral:rRNA from 1 species